UACAGAGGUCUCAAGCGUUGUUCGGAUUCAUUGGGCGUAAAGGCUGCGUAGGCGGCGCGGUAAGUCGGGUGUGAAAUCUCGGAGCUUAACUCCGAAACUGCAUUCGAUACUGCCGUGCUUGAGGACUGGAGAGGAGACUGGAAUUUACGGUGUAGCGGUGAAAUGCGUAGAUAUCGUAAGGAAGACCAGUGGCGAAGGCGGGUCUCUGGACAGUUCCUGACGCUGAGGCACGAAGGUCAGGGGAGCAAACGGG
rnacentral:rRNA from 1 species